GACGAACGCUGGCGGCGUGCUUAACACAUGCAAGUCGAACGGAAAGGCCCUGCUUGCAGGGUGCUCGCGUGGCGAACGGGUGAGUAACACGUGGGUGAUCUGCCCCUUACUUUGGGAUAAGCCUGGGAAACUGGGUCUAAUACUGGAUAGGACCAUGCUGUAGGUGGUGUGGUGGAAAGAUUAGUUUCGGUAAGGGAUGAGCUCGCGGCCUAUCAGCUUGUUGGUGGGGUAAUGGCCUACCAAGGCGUCGACGGGUAGCCGGCCUGAGAGGGUGGACGGCCACAUUGGGACUGAGAUACGGCCCAGAAUCCUACGGGAGGCAGCAGUGGGGAAUAGUGCACAAGGGGCGCAAGCCUGAUGCAGCGACGCCGCGUGGGGGAUGACGGCCUUCGGGUUGUAAACUCCUUUCGGCCAUGACGAAGCGCUUGUGGUGACGGUAGUGGUAGAAGAAGCACCGGCUAACUACGUG
rnacentral:rRNA from 1 species